AGAGAGAGAGUGAAGCACGGAAGAGACAGACAAACAGACCGUUGGACUACCUGACGACAUUCCCUCUCUAUCCACCUUUGACCAUCAAUAAUUUAUUUUUAGUGACACCAGCCUUCCAUGUCCAGGAGCUGUUUUAGCCUUGUUAUCUAUCUUUUUUCACCCUCUCUCACACAGCUUCCAAUCCUGCACUUGUGGCUCCCUGUUGGUCUGGCUCAUUCCCCACAGUGCUAGGUUCGCCGCUUCCAAUCCUCCACUUGAGGCUCCCUGUUGGUCUGGCUCAUCCCCCACAGUGCUAGGUUCGCCGGUAAGUCCCCUCUCCGUUUUAGACACUUUCCCUCUCUCCUCUCUCCAGUCACACCUUAGAACCCUCCAAUUGAGGCCCCUGCCCGCUCCUGCCCAGCCCCCGCAAGCACCCCCCCCCCCCA